AGUUUUCUUCGGGGCAGGGUGAAAUUCCCUACCGGCGGUUACAGUCCGCGACUCCUUUCUUAUGAAGGGACUGAUCUGGUGAAAUUCCGGAACCGACAGUUAAAGUCUGGAUGGGAGAAGAAAAUG
rnacentral:ncRNA from 3 species